UACGUAGGAUCCGAGCGUUGUCCGGAUUUAUUGGGUUUAAAGGGUGCGUAGGCGGUUUUAUAAGUCAGUGGUGAAAGUUGGCCGCUCAACGGUCAAAUUGCCAUAGAUACUGUAGAACUUGAGUUAAGUUGAGGUGGGCGGAAUGUGUCAUGUAGCGGUGAAAUGCAUAGAGAUGACACAGAACACCGAUUGCGUAGGCAGCUCACUAAGCUUAUACUGACGCUGAGGCACGAAAGUGUGGGGAUCAAACAGG
rnacentral:rRNA from 1 species